rnacentral:RNase_P_RNA from 1 species
CGAGGCGGACGGGUGACCGCCGACCUAGUAAACGGUUGGAGGAAAGUCCGGGCUCCAAAGAGCAGGGUGCUGGGUAACACCCAGUCGGGGUGACCCGAAGGAAAGUGCCACAGAAAAUUACCGCCGGCAGCGAGUGUCUCCGGAGACGAGCUGCAGGUAAGGGUGAAAAGGUGGGGUAAGAGCCCACCGGCGGCGGGGUGACCGGCCGGCCAGGCAAACCCCGCCCGGAGCAAGACCAAAUAGGAGGGCGAUCACGGCGGCUCGCCGAGCCCUCGGGUAUCGGUCGCUAGAGGUGCCGGGCAACCGGCAUCCCAGACAGAUGGUCACCGUCCCGCAAGGGAAACAGAACCCGGCUUACAGUCCGCCCUCGGCCC